UACGUAGGGGGCGAGCGUUAUCCGGAUUUAUUGGGUGUAAAGCGUGUGUAGGCGGUUUCUUAAGUCUAAGGUUCAAGGCUGGAGCUUAACUCCAGUUUGCCUCGGAAACUGGGUUACUUGAGUAUGGUAGAGGUAAGUGGAAUUUCUAGUGUAGCGGUUAAAUGCGUAGAUAUUAGAAGGAACAUCAGUGGCGAAGGCGACUUACUGGGCCAUCACUGACGCUGAGACACGAAAGCGUGGGGAGCAAAUA
rnacentral:rRNA from 1 species